GGCCUGGCUGGGCGGUCCGCUUAACGGCGUGUACUGUCUGGCUGGGUCUUACCUCCUGGUGAGCCGGCAUGCCCUUUACUGGCGUGUGUCGGGGAACCAGGACUUUUACCUUGAGAAAAUUAGAGUGUUCAAAGCAGGCUUACGCCUGAAUACAUUAGCAUGGAAUAAUAAAAUAGGACGUGCGGUUCUAUUUUGUUGGUUUCUAGAGUCGCCGUA
rnacentral:rRNA from 1 species